rnacentral:rRNA from 1 species
GACGAACGCUGGCGGCGUGCUUAACACAUGCAAGUCGAACGGAAAGGCCCUGCUCUUGUGGUGUGCUCGUGUGGCGAACGGGUGAGUAACACGUGUGUAACCUGCCCUUGACUUUGGGAUAUCUUCAGGAAACUGGGGCUAAUACCGGAUAGGAUCUCCUGCUGCAUGGUGGGGGUUGGAGAGUUUCGGCGGUUGGGGAUGGACUCGCGGCUUAUCAGCUUGUUGGUGGGGUAGUGGCUUACCAAGGCUUUGACGGGUAGCCGGCCUGAGAGGGUGACCGGCCACAUUGGGACUGAGAUACGGCCCAGACUCCUACGGGAGGCAGCAGUGGGGAAUAUUGCACAAUGGGCGGAAGCCUGAUGCAGCAACGCCGCGUGCGGGAUGACGGCCUUCGGGUUGUAAACCGCUUUCGCCUGUGACGAAGCGUGAGUGACGGUAAUGGGUAAAGAAGCACCGGCUAACUACGUG